UACGCCAAGACGUCGCUUGCGGCAAGCUUGGGGACCUUGGGGCGCAGUUGGUCAGCCACCUGACGCCACUGCGCCC
rnacentral:tRNA from 1 species